rnacentral:tRNA from 2 species
GCGGGUGUAGCUCAGUUGGUAGAGCAUCAGCUUCCCAAGCUGAGGGUCGCGGGUUCGAGUCCCGUCACCCGCU